rfam:Aedes aegypti strain Liverpool supercont1.75 genomic scaffold, whole genome shotgun sequence.
CAAUCGGUCCUUUUCAGGACCAACAAAUGUGUACUCAAGAGUUAAU